ensembl:lincRNA Gm42914 predicted gene 42914
AAGUAGGAGAGCACACAUUGGGAGGCUCAACCGCCAUUUCCCUCUUGGCUCUCUAAGAGGGUGGGCAGAUCUGGAUUCUAAGCCAUUUCACAGCAAACACGCGUCUCUAACCACCAGCAUUGGCUUAAUUGGGGCUGCUUCCAAACCAGGUCCUCUCCUGCCUGCUACUUCCUAAAAAAGAAGCAAAACCACCGAGGAUUUUGCUGCAGGAUCCGAGGAAACCCCAGGCUUUGUCACUUGAGAAUGGGGUUCUCCAAAGAAACCCACGUAAGUCACUACAGACUGUUGCCAUGGGGACAGCAUACCCUCACAGGCAGCCAAAGGCAAGACUGAGGAUGGGUCAUGUGACCAGACGGCAGCCAGUGGUCCCUGGCAGUUUGAGAGAGAGAAUCCAAAAGAUGGAGAGAGUGGAAGCAUCAAAAGAUAAAACACGCAAGAGACACAGGAGAAGAGUUCUGGGGACCACAGGAGAAAGGGCAGAAAGGACAUCUGGCGAGCACGUGAAGGAAAGACAUCGCGCUAGCACGUGGAGGAGAAGACAGCGGGAGGGGGGCGGGGGGAAGCACGCGGAGGAGAGGACAUGGGGCGAGCGCGUGGAGGAGAGGAUAUUGGACGAGCGAGGGGAGGAGAGGACAUGGGGCGAGCAGGUGGAGAAGAGGCCAUUGGGUGAGCAUGUUGAAAGAACAUCUGGCUAGCGCUUCAGCAAGAAAGACAAGCGUAGGGCAGAAGGAGCGAGCAUGAGCGAGCAGUGCGCCAAGAGAAUGAGAAGGAUGGAGAGCUGUUCCUAGCAAAACCAGGGGAAGGGGGGACCUAAUAAGAAGCAAUUAGAAGGAAAGUGAAAAGACUUAUUCUAGGAGUUUGGUGUUAAAAAGCAAAUGAAGUGGAAAUUUUGUAAGUGUUAAACUCUACCCAAAAACAGUAUGAGGGGAAAUUUUCACACAGUAUAACUUAAAACAAGU